AUUGAACGCUGGCGGCAGGCCUAACACAUGCCAGUCGAGCGGAUGAAGGGAGCUUGCUCCUGGAUUCAGCGGCGGACGGGUGAGUAAUGCCUAGGAAUCUGCCUGGUAGUGGGGGAUAACGUCCGGAAACGGGCGCUAAUACCGCAUACGUCCUGAGGGAGAAAGUGGGGGAUCUUCGGACCUCACGCUACCAGAUGAGCCUAGGUCGGAUUAGCUAGUUGGUGGGGUAAAGGCCUACCAAGGCGACGAUCCGUAACUGGUCUGAGAGGAUGAUCAGUCACACUGGAACUGAGACACGGUCCAGACUCCUACGGGAGGCAGCAGUGGGGAAUAUUGGACAAUGGGCGAAAGCCUGAUCCAGCCAUGCCGCGUGUGUGAAGAAGGUCUUCGGAUUGUAAAGCACUUUAAGUUGGGAGGAAGGGCAGUAAGUUAAUACCUUGCGGUUUUGACGUUACCAACAGAAUAAGCACCGGCUAACUUCGUG
rnacentral:rRNA from 1 species